rnacentral:rRNA from 1 species
UACGUAGGGUGCAAGCGUUGUUCGGAAUUACUGGGCGUAAAGGGCUCGUAGGCGGCCAACUAAGUCAGACGUGAAAUCCCCAGGCUCAACCUGGGAACUGCGUCUGAUACUGGAUGGCUUGAAUCCGGGAGAGGGAUGCAGAAUUCCAGGUGUAGCGGUGAAAUGCGUAGAUAUCUGGAGGAAUACCGGUGGCGAAGGCGGGUAGCUGGGCCGACACUGACGCUGAGGCGCGAAAGCUAGGGGAGCGAACGGG